CCUACGGGUGGCAGCAGUGGGGAAUAUUGGACAAUGGGCGAAAGCCUGAUCCAGCCAUGCUGCGUGUGUGAAGAAGGCCUUCGGGUUGUAAAGCACUUUCAGUGGGGAAGAAAGCCUUGGGGCUAAUACCCUCGAGGAAGGACAUCACCCACAGAAGAAGCACCGGCUAACUCCGUGCCAGCAGCCGCGGUAAUACGGAGGGUGCGAGCGUUAAUCGGAAUUACUGGGCGUAAAGCGCGCGUAGGCGGUCUGAUAAGCCGGUUGUGAAAGCCCCGGGCUCAACCUGGGAACGGCAUCCGGAACUGUCAGGCUAGAGUGCAGGAGAGGAAGGUAGAAUUCCCGGUGUAGCGGUGAAAUGCGUAGAGAUCGGGAGGAAUACCAGUGGCGAAGGCGGCCUUCUGGACUGACACUGACGCUGAGGUGCGAAAGCGUGGGUAGCAAACAGGAUUAGAUACCCGAGUAGUC
rnacentral:rRNA from 1 species